rnacentral:rRNA from 1 species
GACGAACGCUGGCGGCGUGCUUAACACAUGCAAGUCGAACGGAAAGGCCCUGCUUUUGUGGGGUGCUCGAGUGGCGAACGGGUGAGUAACACGUGAGUAACCUGCCCUUGACUUUGGGAUAACUUCAGGAAACUGGGGCUAAUACCGGAUAGGAGCUCCUGCUGCAUGGUGGGGGUUGGAAAGUUUCGGCGGUUGGGGAUGGACUCGCGGCUUAUCAGCUUGUUGGUGGGGUAGUGGCUUACCAAGGCUUUGACGGGUAGCCGGCCUGCGAGGGUGACCGGCCACAUUGGGACUGAGAUACGGCCCAGACUCCUACGGGAGGCAGCAGUGGGGAAUAUUGCACAAUGGGCGGAAGCCUGAUGCAGCAACGCCGCGUGCGGGAUGACGGCCUUCGGGUUGUAAACCGCUUUCGCCUGUGACGAAGCGUGAGUGACGGUAAUGGGUAAAGAAGCACCGGCUAACUACGU